CCUACGGGAGGCAGCAGUGGGGAAUAUUGCACAAUGGGGGAAACCCUGAUGCAGCAACGCCGCGUGAGUGAUGAAGGUUUUCGGAUCGUAAAGCUCUGUCUUUGGGGAAGAUAAUGACGGUACCCAAGGAGGAAGCCACGGCUAACUACGUGCCAGCAGCCGCGGUAAUACGUAGGUGGCGAGCGUUAUCCGGAUUUACUGGGCGUAAAGGGAGCGUAGGCGGAUGAUUAAGUGGGAUGUGAAAUACCCGGGCUCAACUUGGGUGCUGCAUUCCAAACUGGUUAUCUAGAGUGCAGGAGAGGAGAGUGGAAUUCCUAGUGUAGCGGUGAAAUGCGUAGAGAUUAGGAAGAACACCAGUGGCGAAGGCGACUCUCUGGACUGUAACUGACGCUGAGGCUCGAAAGCGUGGGGAGCAAACAGGAUU
rnacentral:rRNA from 1 species